GGUGGGUCCUACCUAGACCAGGCUGAUCCUGGACCAUCCCACAGAUGCUCAAUCAGAUCUGGAUGUGGGGAGUGUGGAACCCAGAUGUUCAGAGGGAGAUGAUGCCACAUCUGGUCCAGCUGAUGGAAGGUCUUGAAGUUCUCUGACUGGCCUCGACUGAAGAUGGUCGUCUCACUGGAUUUAAGGUUCAGAUGCUCAGUAACAAACUCCACCAAUGAGCCAACAGGGAAGCUUUAGGUUUAUUAAAUGUUGCUAUGAAGGUAUCGCUGUUUUUCUUUGUGAAUGCAAUGUGCUCCAACUGAAACUUGAAUUAGAACUUAGAAGUAAAUCCUUCCAUCUGAAAGGAAUUAAUAACCUCAUAACAUUCUAAUUUUUAUUCCAGUCUUAGUUGGAAAUAGAAUCUCUGUAUUGAUUCAGGUAAAAACUGAACUUCACAGCAUGUUGGAGCAAAACAACCAGAUGAAAACUGUGAUGGUGUUGGAUUGUCAGACCGUAAUGUUGCAGCUCAAAGCAGCUUUUCUAGCUCAGUUCAUUCUGACAUUCAGCUAUGAAUCAACACAGCAGAUGGUGAUCCAUGCUGUGGAAGUCUCACAUCUCCUGAUUUAAUGGAGCUGCUUUGCACUUUUUGCACUGUUUAUUCACCAACACUUUAUUUAAUAAAAGUCCCAUCUAGUUUUUAUGAGGAAUGUGAUGUUUUAAUUUCUCUGUGAAUAACUGCAGUCUAAUGCAACAGCUGGAGUUGUAACAUCUGUCCUGAUAUUGAUCAUGAAGUAUUGAUCAGAAUACUUAUGGUCAGCAGUCAUCCCUGAAGUUUUACAUUAAAAUCUUUACUUGUGUCGUGAACUUUGGUAAGAAGCAGAAACGUUAGUGUUGCCAUGGAUACAUGAGUGUUAAAUUCUGUCCAUGUUUCCAUUUUGGGAAAUGCAGUCCAGUUCCAGAAUGUGGAGGAAUUUAGUCUCACAAUCACAGACAACAAAUAUUAUCUGAAAGUCGGGUUAUUGUUGUUUAUCAGCACAAUACAAAAAGAUUAAUGUUAGAAAUAUUCCAGUUAAGACUCUAGAAUAUCGUGAUUUAUGUAAAUUUACCUCAAUAAUAUGAAUGUUCAGGUUAAGAUUGUACAGUGAUAUUUAUUAUGUAAGUUUAGCUGAUUAAAGUUUAUGACUCUGCACUAAAAUAUUAUUUAAAUUGACAUCAUUAUUAUAAUAUUUAGGGUCAGACCCUACAGUAUUGAGAUUAAGAAAUCAAAUAUUCUAUAAAAUGUGAAUACACUGAAUUCAUUUGGAGAUAUUUAAAUGAGACUCUACAAUAUUAUUUGACACAAAUCAACCAAAAUUAAAAAUUUUAAUCAUUUUUACUCCAAACAUUUACUGGACUGAUUUAAACAUUAAAAUCACUCCUUUCUAAUCCUCUGCUGUACGUUCAAACCUGAGGCCUUAAAUAGAAACACAAGUAUCUGUUUGAAGGAACUUCUGCAGAGUCCUGGUUCCAGAACAUGAUGAUAAAAUUAUAGACAAACUUUAACAAAAGCUGCCUGAGAGUUUACAGGUUUUUAUGUUGGAUUUCUUCAGUCAUUUAAUGAGCGUUAUCAGCAAAAAUCAAGUGUUCAUUUGAUGAACUUCAUUUCCUAAAACAUCCAGAAUUGGAGUUCAUAUCUUUGGCAGCUGUAAAGUUUCUGCUCCUUCAAAGUUCACAACACAAUGAAUGAAUUCCUAAAACACUCUCAGUGCUGGAGAGCAUUUGAUGCUGAAGCAGUGAUCAGUUUUUCUGUUUCUUCUCUGGAGAUGCACAAUGAGGGACGUCUGCAGAGACUGAGAAAGAGUCUCACCACAUCCUUACAUGAGGAAAAAGACUUUAUUGAAGACUACAAUGAGAAAAACUAUCAGACAGCAGACGGCUGCAUUCAAGUUUAGGCUUUUCGAUUGUUCCAGACAAGACAAGUAAAAGAUUCUUCAGAGCCUUUCUACCACGAGCCUGACAGGAAGAACUCCAACAGCUACUGAAUGUUCCUGUGGUUCCCUCAAGGCUACAGGAGGAGUCCUACGAGGACGAGCCGGUCCACCUGAUGGUGGCCAGUCGCUGCGGUUCAAAGCCAACACCAACUACAUGGACUUCUACUGGACCACACGGAGGCCUUCAAACCAGACCAACAAGUUCAGCGACUCCCCGACUCGUGGGUCUGAGGACGCCGCCGAGCCUCGGCCCAGCCGGCCUCCUGUCUGUGGGUGUUUGAGUGCUGAGAGGUUUGAGGAUGCAUGUGAACGUUCUGUGUUGAAACAGCAGCUUUUGACUCAGUAACGCCGGGAAAAACCAAGAGCUCCUUUAUUUGUCACUUCCACUAAAAAAACUGAACAAAAUAAGUUUGCCAGGUUUCUGACUGAUAACAGAUUAUUAAAUAAUGAAAAUAAUCAUUUAAAUAUUCCUUUAAACAAUCCUUUUAGGUCUACAUUUCCUUUACACUGACUUCUUGGUAUAUGUACAAGUAUUUUGGGUGGAAUAUACCAUUAAGCCUAAUAUUCAAGGGUUCUUCUGGGAAUAUACCAUUAAACCAACCUUUUACGUAAAUGUUCCAGGAUGUUGGGUAGAAUAUACCAUCAGAUAAACCUUUUAGGUCUACACUGGAAGAUUUUAGAGUAGAAUAUUACUCCAAACCAUCCUUUAGGUCUACAUUUAAGGUGGAAUACUCCUUUACACCAAGAUUGUUUGGUCUACAUUGAAAGAUUUUAGGUGAAAUAUUCCUUUGAACGAACUUUUUAAGUUUAUGUUCAAGGAUGUUGGGUGGAAUAUACCAUCAGACCAACCUUCAAGGUCUACAGUAGUGAAUUUUAGGUGGAAUAUACCAUUAAACUCACCUUUUAGGUCUACAUUGGAGGAUUUUAGGUGGAAUUUUCUUUCAAACCAUCUUUUAGUCUACAUUUAAGGAUGUUUAGGAUGGCAUAUUCUUCCAGACCAACUUCUCAGGUCUACAUUUCAGGUGGAAUAUUCCUCCAUACUAACUUUUUUGGUCUACAUUGAAGAAUUUUUUCUAAACCACCCUUUCGGGUCUAUAUUUGAGGUUUUAGGUGGAAUAUUCCUUUUAACCAGC
ensembl:lncRNA